rnacentral:rRNA from 1 species
CCUACGGGGGGCAGCAGUGGGGAAUAUUGCACAAUGGGGGAAACCCUGAUGCAGCGACGCCGCGUGAGUGAAGAAGUAUUUCGGUAUGUAAAGCUCUAUCAGCAGGGAAGCAGAAAGACGGUACCUGACUCAGAAGCCCCGGCUAACUACGAGCCAGCAGCCGCGGUAAUACGCAGGGGGCAAGCGUUAUCCGGAUUUACGGGGGGUAAAGGGAGCGUAGACGGCUGUGCAAGUCUGAAGUGAAAGCCCAGGGCUCAACCCUGGGACUGCUUUGGAAACUGUGGAGCUAGAGUGCUGGAGAGGUAAGUGGAAUUCCUGGUGUAGCGGUGAAAUGCGUAGAUAUUAGGAGGAACACCAGUGGCGAAGGCGGCUUACUGGACAGUAACUGACGUUGAGGCUCGAAAGCGUGGGGAGCAAACAGGAUUAGAUACCCUAGUAGUC